rnacentral:lncRNA from 1 species
GCGGCUCCCAUAGACCGCCAAUGCCCCAUGGUCCACGUUGGACCGCACGAGCGUUGGGCCUGAGCACCCCACACGCGAGCUGGGCCGGCCCACACGCACCCGUGCUGGGCCCGUUUUGGGCCACACGCACCUAUGCGCGUGCGUCUCGAUCGAGCCAGGUGGUGCUCUGCCGGCUGUCGUCGCCUCAUACAUCGUGCCGUCUUCUUUCACGCGUAUC